UACGUAGGGCGCAAGCGUUGUCCGGAAUUAUUGGGCGUAAAGAGCUCGUAGGCGGUCUGUCGCGUCUGGUGUGAAAUCCCAUGGCUCAACUGUGGGCUUGCAUCGGGUACGGGCAGACUAGAGUGCUGUAGGGGAGACUGGAAUUCCUGGUGUAGCGGUGGAAUGCGCAGAUAUCAGGAGGAACACCGAUGGCGAAGGCAGGUCUCUGGGCAGUUACUGACGCUGAGGAGCGAAAGUGUGGGGAGCGAACAGG
rnacentral:rRNA from 1 species